rnacentral:tRNA from 1 species
GCGGAUGUGGCCAAGUGGAUCAAGGCAUUGGAUUGUGAAUCCAUCUUAUGCGGGUUCAAUUCCCGCCAUUCGCC